rnacentral:misc_RNA from 1 species
AAGUCGUAACAAGGUUUCCGUAGGUGAACCUGCGGAAGGAUCAUUUCCAAAUUUUUAUUUUUAAAUUCCUUUCAUUGACGUCUUGUGCGAAUUUGCAUAUAGAAGGCAUUGAAAAGAAUUUAAAAAAACAAAACAAAAACACCAUUUUUAUUCUAAAGACUCAAGUCUAACAUUCUAUUCAAAAAUUUAAAAAAUACAACUUUUAACAACGGAUCUCUUGGCUCUC